rnacentral:rRNA from 1 species
UGUAAAGUUCAAGCUCCGAUUAUGAGGGCGAAACCGCGAAUGGCUCAUUAAAUCAGUCAUAAUCUACUUGAUUGUUUAAAGUUUAUAUGGAUAACUGUGGUAAUUCUAGAGCUAAUACAUGCACAAAUGGGGCGACUCCCGUCAAAAGGAGAAGCUCUGCGUUUAUUAGACUAAGACCAAUAGCCCCGUAAAAAAGGGCUCUUGUCAAGGUGACUCUGAGUAAAUAAUGGGUGAAAGCCCAUGUUGCCGAGCUGGCACACAAACCGCAGCAAUGCGGGCCAGCCGAAUCAAUCGAGUGUCUGCUCUAUCAACUGUGGAUGGUAGGAUAAUUGCCUACCAUGGUGGUGACGGGUAACGGGGAGUUAGGGCUCGACUCCGGAGAACAAGCCUGAGAAACGGCUAGUAGGACUAAGGUCUGCAGCAGGCGCGAAACUUACACAAUGCUAGAUUACAAUUAGCGAUGUAGUGAAGAAAAAUAACGAUGUACUUGCAUUUAAACAUGCUAGUACAAUUGGAAUGAGACGACUACAAAUCAGUUAGUCGAGUAACAAAUGGAGGGCAAGUCUGGUGCCAGCAGCCGCGGUAAUUCCAGCUCCAUUAGCAUACAUUAAAGUUGUUGCGGUUAAAAAGCUCGUAGUUGAAUUUUGGGUUGGCUCUAUUGGGGUGCCGUCGUAAAGGGUUUUAGUUUUAACUAACUAUAAAUCUGGCGGUAUUUCCCCGUUAGGAACCAACUGUUUCGUCACUUAAUCGAGUGCGAAGCGGGCUGGCGUUGACUAAAUUUAUUUAGUUUCAGCGACAGCAUGUUUACCUUGAGAAAAUUAGAGUGCUCACAGCAGGCAGUUGGGGUGUAAAAGCCUCUUUAUGCUUGAAUAAUGUUGCAUGGAAUAAUAGAAUACGGCCUCGGUUCUAUUCUGUUGGUCUUAUAGAACAACAAACAAGUUGGUUAAGGCGACCAAAAGUCACCCGGACGGUGUGAAUUUUUAUUUAGUUGAGUAAGUUCUUGUUGCCUGGAAGUAAAAUUUCAGAGCCAUAGCCCUCUUCAAAGUAAAUUUUCAUUAAGCGCCCCCGGACUGGCUAGCCUUCUAAUCAACUGAGGCAAUGGUUAAAAGAAAUAGUCGCGGCGGCAUCAGUACUGCAUCGUGAGAGGUGAAAUUCUUAGACCGAUGCAAGACUAACUGAAGCGAAAGCGUUUGCCGAGGAUAUUUUCAUUAAUCAAGAACGAAAGUUAGAGGUUCGAAGGCGAUCAGAUACCGCCCUAGUUCUAACCAUAAACGUUGCCAACUAGCAAUUGGGUUGCGAUUCCUUUAAUCGAAUGGGUAAAACCUUCGAUCAUUAUGAUCCACCCAGCGGCUCUCGUAGGGAAACCAAAGUGUUUGGGUUCCGGGGGAAGUAUGAUUGCAAAGUUGAAACUUAAAGGAAUUGACGGAAGGGCACCACCAGGAGUGGAGCCUGCGGCUUAAUUUGACUCAACACGGGGAAACUUACUAGAUUAAAACUCUGGAAUGAUUGACAGAUUGAUAGCUCUUUCUUGAUUCAGAGGAUGGUGGUGCAUGGCCGUUCUUGAUUCGUAUUCCGAAACGUCUGCUUAAUUGCGAUAACGAGUGAGACCUCACCCAACUAACUAGUCGUUUGGUGCGCUGUUGGAACGCAAAAGUUCGUUGUUGGUUUAGUUUGGUUAGGGCCGUAAAAAAGUCUUGGCUAAUCGCCAGCAGCGAAUGUUCUCUGCUCGCCAGCGGACUUCUUAGAGGGAUAAACGGUGUUUUAGCCGUAAGAAACGAGGCAAUAACAGGUCUGUGAUGCCCUUAGAUAUUCUAGGCCGCACGCGUGCUACAAUGGCGUGUGCAGAAAGCUUGUUCGAGGUUUGUCCAGAGAGAACUAGUCGUUUGGUGUGCCAUAGGUAGCAAUAUUUGUGGUAUAUCGGCGGAAAAGUGACUUUGGUUAGCAAGCCGAGAGAAACCGCAGCCGAAAGGUUGCGGCAAUCAUAAAUACACGCCGUGAUUUGGGAUUGGGGAUUGCAAUUGUUGCCCAUGAACGAGGAAUUCCCAGUAAGCGCAAUUCAUCAUAUUGCGUUGAUUACGUCCCUGCCCUUUGUACACACCGCCCGUCGCUACUACCGAUUGGAAGUUUUAGUGAGGCAUUUGGACCUGCUAUCUAAAGGGGAGGCAACUCCUCUUGGACGGCGGGGAAGUCUGUCGAACUCAAAUUUCUAGAGGAAGUAAAAGUCGUAACAAGGUUUCCGU